rnacentral:misc_RNA from 1 species
GAUGAAGAACGUAGUGAAAUGCGAUAAGUAAUGUGAAUUGCAGAAUUCAGUGAAUCAUCGAAUCUUUGAACGCACAUUGCGCCCCCUGGUAUUCCGGGGGGCAUGCCUGUUCGAGCGUCAUUUCACCACUCAAGCCUCGCUUGGUAUUGGGCAACGCGGUCCGCCGCGUGCCUCAAAUCGACCGGCUGGGUCUUCUGUCCCCUAAGCGUUGUGGAAACUAUUCGCUAAAGGGUGCUCGGGAGGCUACGCCGUAAAACAAACCCAUUUCUAAGGUUGACCUCGGAUCAGGUAGGGAUACCCGCUGAACUUAAGCAUAUCAAUAAGCGGAAGA